UACGAAGGGGGCUAGCGUUGCUCGGAAUCACUGGGCGUAAAGGGUGCGUAGGCGGGUCUUUAAGUCAGGGGUGAAAUCCUGGAGCUCAACUCCAGAACUGCCUUUGAUACUGAGGAUCUUGAGUUCGGGAGAGGUGAGUGGAACUGCGAGUGUAGAGGUGAAAUUCGUAGAUAUUCGCAAGAACACCAGUGGCGAAGGCGGCUCACUGGCCCGAGUACUGACGCUGAGGCACGAAAGCGUGGGGAGCAA
rnacentral:rRNA from 1 species